rnacentral:rRNA from 1 species
UACGUAGGGUGCGAGCGUUAAUCGGAAUUACUGGGCGUAAAGCGUGCGCAGGCGGUUGAUUAAGUCUGAUGUGAAAGCCCCGGGCUCAACCUGGGAAUGGCAUUGGAAACUGGUCAGCUGGAGUGUGGCAGAGGGGGGUGGAAUUCCGCGUGUAGCAGUGAAAUGCGUAGAGAUGCGGAGGAACACCAGUGGCGAAGGCGACUCUUUGGCCUGUAACUGACGCUGAGGCGCGAAAGCGUGGGGAGCAAACAGG